UACAGAGGGUGCAAGCGUUGUUCGGAAUUAUUGGGCGUAAAGGGCGCGUAGGCGGUGCGGUAAGUCACCUGUGAAAUCUCCUGGCUCAACUGGGAGUCUGCAGGCGAAACUGCCGUGCUGGAGUAUGGGAGAGGUGCGUGGAAUUCCUGGUGUAGCGGUGAAAUGCGUAGAUAUCAGGAGGAACACCUGUGGCGAAAGCGGCGCACUGGACCAAUAA
rnacentral:rRNA from 1 species